rnacentral:lncRNA from 1 species
GUGGUUCAACCUCUCUCACCAAAAUAUCAGGUGCUGGGCCCAGACCAGGCCCAUUCUAUUGGCCUCUUUCAAUUUGUGGCCCCAGCCCAAAAGCCCAAAAUUCUGAGUAGCCCAAAUGUGUGCACCUGCUCCUGAUAUCCACCAAACCAUGAAGAUUGCUAUUGCUCACAUGAUAUUGAAUCAAAGCCUUAUUCAUAAUUGCCGAGCACGUACCUCAUCAAUGGCUUCUUUGGCAUGGUCAGUGGCUUUGCUGCCAUGAAGAGGAACGCAUGCUAUCUGCUCCCUGUAUGUGAUUAUACAGGUAUAAAAAUAGCAUAUCGUCUAGCUUCUGAGCAGUUUUGGCUUUCUCUUCCUAGUGGCCAAC